GGUUUAUGUCGUCCUCAUAGAAGUAUGAGGUUCAUGUCGUCCUCGUAGAAGUAUGAGGUUUAUGUCGUCCUCGUAGAAGUAUGAGGUUUAUGUCGUCCUCAUAGAAGUAUGAGGUUCAUGUCGUCCUCGUAGAAGUAUGAGGUUUAUGUCGUCCUCGUAGAAGUAUGAGGUUUAUGUCGUCCUCAUAGAAGUAUGAGGUUCAUGUCGUCCUCGUAGAAGUAUGAGGUUUAUGUCGUCCUCGUAGAAGUAUGAGGUUUAUGUCGUCCUCAUAGAAGUAUGAGGUUCAUGUCGUCCUCGUAGAAGUAUGAGGUUUAUGUCGUCCUCGUAGAAGUAUGAGGUUUAUGUCGUCCUCAUAGAAGUAUGAGGUUCAUGUCGUCCUCGUAGAAGUAUGAGGUUUAUGUCGUCCUCGUAGAAGUAUGAGGUUUAUGUCGUCCUCAUAGAAGUAUGAGGUUCAUGUCGUCCUCGUAGAAGUAUGAGGUUUAUGUCGUCCUCGUAGAAGUAUGAGGUUUAUGUCGUCCUCAUAGAAGUAUGAGGUUCAUGUCGUCCUCGUAGAAGUAUGAGGUUUAUGUCGUCCUCGUAGAAGUAUGAGGUUUAUGUCGUCCUCAUAGAAGUAUGAGGUUCAUGUCGUCCUCGUAGAAGUAUGAGGUUUAUGUCGUCCUCGUAGAAGUAUGAGGUUUAUGUCGUCCUCAUAGAAGUAUGAGGUUCAUGUCGUCCUCGUAGAAGUAUGAGGUUUAUGUCGUCCUCGUAGAAGUAUGAGGUUUAUGUCGUCCUCAUAGAAGUAUGAGGUUCAUGUCGUCCUCGUAGAAGUAUGAGGUUUAUGUCGUCCUCGUAGAAGUAUGAGGUUUAUGUCGUCCUCAUAGAAGUAUGAGGUUCAUGUCGUCCUCGUAGAAGUAUGAGGUUUAUGUCGUCCUCGUAGAAGUAUGAGGUUUAUGUCGUCCUCAUAGAAGUAUGAGGUUCAUGUCGUCCUCGUAGAAGUAUGAGGUUUAUGUCGUCCUCGUAGAAGUAUGAGGUUUAUGUCGUCCUCAUAGAAGUAUGAGGUUCAUGUCGUCCUCGUAGAAGUAUGAGGUUUAUGUCGUCCUCGUAGAAGUAUGAGGUUUAUGUCGUCCUCAUAGAAGUAUGAGGUUCAUGUCGUCCUCGUAGAAGUAUGAGGUUUAUGUCGUCCUCGUAGAAGUAUGAGGUUUAUGUCGUCCUCAUAGAAGUAUGAGGUUCAUGUCGUCCUCGUAGAAGUAUGAGGUUUAUGUCGUCCUCGAAAAAGUGUGAGAGGUUUUAGUUGUGAUGGGAAUAAAAGGACAGUUCUGAGGUC
rnacentral:lncRNA from 1 species